AUUGAUUCUUAAUCAGCUGAAUGGAUCUGCAGUUGAAUUGCAAGGAUCAUCAUCAGUAUCUGCUAGUGGAGCAGACAUAUAUUCCUCAAUUGACAAACGCAAGGAAAAUUUGGACAAUCGAGAUGUCACGUACAAAGUUGCAACCGACGGAAAAAGAAAAAAAAAACGUCGACCAGACAGAAAAGAAUGGAAGAGAAACAACGAAACUGGAUUUUCAAAACUAAAUUAUAUAGAAGUUGUCUUUGAACAAAACCCACGAAUCGGGACAUUUUACAUUCAUGGAGCUGACAACAGGACACCAUAUGCAGAUAUAGAUUUUUCAGCAAAAGCGGAACCGCUAAUUAGUUCAGAUGAAAGUGAUGGAAAUUCCAAUUGCUUGGAGAACAAUUGCGACGAUUUUGUGUCCCUGGAAGAUGUGCAGCAGUGGAAUAUAACUGAAGACUGAUUUUUUUUGUUUAUUAACUUUAUUUUUCAUUUUCUCUUUCACAAUUACUUACAAUACAGUUUUAAAGGCGAUAAAGUUUGCAAUAGAAAACAAAAAUUAUUAUGGCUGUACGUAAGUUUUCAAGAAUUGUUGUGGAAUGUUUCUAGAACUUACACAAUUAUUGUGUGUUUUUUUAUGUUUUUAUAUCGAUGUUUUUGUUUAAGGUGGUACCUAACACUUUAACUAAAAU